CCCAUUUGUCUUGAAGAUUCUACUAAAUAGUUUCCAUAACUCUUCCCACCCAGAAGAUCAAAGAACCAGAUUCUUCGUGGCUGUAUUUGUCAAUGCUUUGAUCACACGAGUUAGUUGGUCUAACUUCCAGUUAUGUUUCAUGCUGCAGUAGAUUAAAAGAUGAGUAAAAUAAAUCCCUCAUGCUUUAGCAUAAGGGAUACAGCAGUAAGAGAGGGAAAACAGCACAUCUUAAAGCUGCAUAAUGUAUAACUCAUGUCAAGGUCCUUCUUCCCGGGGAGAUUAUUACAUCUGAACUGUGUUCAAACGUUUGCCUCCUUUGAACAUCAGGCUGGAUUAAUUAGUAUUUCCUCAUCCGUUCUGAGGUUUGUCUCUACACGUUUCUGAUGGAAACAUCUGCCUCUUCGUCUUUUAAAUGCUCCACCAUCUCUCCACUAAGUGUGUCUGCCUGCUGUUUGGUGCUGACAGGUUAGCAUACAGUGGGUUUUUAGAGCAUUUUAGUUGAAAACAUCUGCCUGCUGAGCCUGAAAAAUGACACUAUCCGAAUGCAACAAACCACAGAGAAUCAGACACCUCACCAUCAGAGUUGUGUGGUUGAGGUUCCAAGUGUAGGUGGUCAGGCUCCUGUUCACAGGGUCCACGAUGGAGUCCUCAAUGAUGUAUACGGAGCGAGACAUGCCGGUGGGGA